rnacentral:rRNA from 1 species
UGCAGUCGAACGAUGAACCCCGCUUGCGGGGGGAUUAGUGGCGAACGGGUGAGUAACACGUGAGUAACCUGCCCUUAACUCUGGGAUAAGCCUUGGAAACGGGGUCUAAUACUGGAUAUUGACUUUUCCUCGCAUGGGGAUUGGUUGAAAGAUUUAUUGGUUUUGGAUGGACUCGCGGCCUAUCAGCUUGUUGGUGAGGUAAUGGCUCACCAAGGCGACGACGGGUAGCCGGCCUGAGAGGGUGACCGGCCACACUGGGACUGAGACACGGCCCAGACUCCUACGGGAGGCAGCAGUGGGGAAUAUUGCACAAUGGGCGAAAGCCUGAUGCAGCGACGCCGCGUGAGGGAUGACGGCCUUCGGGUUGUAAACCUCUUUCAGUAGGGAACAAGGCCAGUGUUUAGCUGGUUGAGGGUACUUGCAGAAGAAGCGCCGGCUAACUACGUGCCAGCAGCCGCGGUAAUACGUAGGGCGCAAGCGUUAUCCGGAAUUAUUGGGCGUAAAGAGCUCGUAGGCGGUUUGUCGCGUCUGCCGUGAAAGUCCGGGGCUCAACCCCGGAUCUGCGGUGGGUACGGGCAGACUAGAGUGAUGUAGGGGAGACUGGAAUUCCUGGUGUAGCGGUGAAAUGCGCAGAUAUCAGGAGGAACACCGAUGGCGAAGGCAGGUCUCUGGGCAUUAACUGACGCUGAGGAGCGAAAGCAUGGGGAGCGAACAGGAUUAGAUACCCUGGUAGUCCAUGCCGUAAACGUUGGGCACUAGGUGUGGGGGACAUUCCACGUUUUCCGCGCCGUAGCUAACGCAUUAAGUGCCCCGCCUGGGGAGUACGGCCGCAAGGCUAAAACUCAAAGGAAUUGACGGGGGCCCGCACAAGCGGCGGAGCAUGCGGAUUAAUUCGAUGCAACGCGAAGAACCUUACCAAGGCUUGACAUGAACUGGAAACACCUGGAAACAGGUGCCCCGCUUGCGGUCGGUUUACAGGUGGUGCAUGGUUGUCGUCAGCUCGUGUCGUGAGAUGUUGGGUUAAGUCCCGCAACGAGCGCAACCCUCGUUCUAUGUUGCCAGCACGUUAU